rnacentral:rRNA from 1 species
GUUAUAUGGUCAAGCGAAUAAGCGCACACGGUGGAUGCCUUGGCGGUCAGAGGCGAUGAAGGACGUGGCAGCCUGCGAAAAGUAUCGGGGAGCUGGCAACAAGCUUUGAUCCGGUAAUGUCCGAAUGGGGAAACCCACCCGCUUGCGGGUAUCCUGCAGUGAAUACAUAGCUGCUGGAAGCGAACCUGGUGAACUGAAAUAUCUAAGUAACCAGAGGAAAAGAAAUCAACCGAGAUUCCGUAAGUAGCGACGAGCGAACGCGGACUAGCCCUUAAGCUGAUUUGGUUCUAGGAAAACGCUCUGGAAAGAGCGGCCAUAGAAGGUGAUAGCCCUGUAUCUGAAAGGGCCAUUUCAGUGAAGACGAGUAGGGCGGGGCACGUGAAACCCUGUCUGAACAUGGGGGGACCAUCCUCCAAGGCUAAAUACUACUGACCGACCGAUAGUGAACCAGUACCGUGAGGGAAAGGCGAAAAGAACCCCGGAGAGGGGAGUGAAAUAGAACCUGAAACCGUGUGCGUACAAGCAGUAGGAGCUCCGCAAGGAGUGACUGCGUACCUUUUGUAUAAUGGGUCAGCGACUUACUGUUCGUGGCAAGCUUAACCGUAUAGGGGAGGCGAAGGGAAACCGAGUCUGAUAAGGGCGCAUAGUCGCGGGCAGUAGACCCGAAACCGGGUGAUCUAGUCAUGCCCAGGGUGAAGGUGCGGUAACACGCACUGGAGGCCCGAACCCACUCCCGUUGCAAAGGUAGGGGAUGAGGUGUGAUUAGGAGUGAAAAGCUAAUCGAACCCGGAGAUAGCUGGUUCUCCUCGAAAGCUAUUUAGGUAGCGCCUCAUAUGUAUCCUCUCGGGGGUAGAGCACUGUUAUGGCUAGGGGGUCAUCGCGACUUACCAAACCAUUGCAAACUCCGAAUACCGAGACGGACUGUAUGGGAGACACACGGCGGGUGCUAACGUCCGUCGUGAAAAGGGAAACAACCCAGACCCACAGCUAAGGUCCCAAAUUUUGUGCUAAGUGGAAAACCAUGUGGAAAGGCACAGACAGCCAGGAGGUUGGCUUAGAAGCAGCCACCCUUUAAAGAAAGCGUAAUAGCUCACUGGUCGAGUCGGUCUGCGGGGAAGAUUUAACGGGGCUAAGCACAGAACCGAAGCUUGGGGUGCAUAACUUUGUUAUGCGCGGUAGAGGAGCGUUCCGUAAGCCGUUGAAGGUGGAUUGAGAAGUCUGCUGGAGGUAUCGGAAGUGCGAAUGCUGACAUGAGUAACGAUAAUGCGGGUGAAAAACCCGCACGCCGAAAGCCCAAGGUUUCCUUGCGCAACGUUAAUCGGCGCAGGGUGAGUCGGCCCCUAAGGCGAGGACGAAAGUCGUAGUCGAUGGGAAGCAGGUUAAUAUUCCUGCACCUCGCGUAAGUGCGAUGGAGGGACGGAGAAGGUUAGGUGUACCAGGCGUUGGUUGUCCUGGGGAAAGGCGGUAGGUUUGGAUCUUUGGCAAAUCCGGGAUCCUCUAAGACCGAGCACCGAGACGAGCCUUUAAGGCGAAGUCACUGAUACCACGCUUCCAGGAAAAGCUCCUAAGCUUCAGCUUACGCAGACCGUACCGUAAACCGACACAGGUGGGUAGGAUGAGAAUUCUCAGGCGCUUGAGAGAACUCGGGUGAAGGAACUAGGCAACAUGGCACCGUAACUUCGGGAGAAGGUGCACCCUUUUUGGUGGCUCGUGCGAGCUAUAGCUGAAGAGGGUCGCAGUAACCAGGCCGCUGCGACUGUUUAUCAAAAACACAGCACUCUGCAAACACGAAAGUGGACGUAUAGGGUGUGACGCCUGCCCGGUGCUGGAAGGUUAAUUGAUGGGGUCAGCCGCAAGGCGAAGCUCUUGAUCGAAGCCCCAGUAAACGGCGGCCGUAACUAUAACGGUCCUAAGGUAGCGAAAUUCCUUGUCGGGUAAGUUCCGACCUGCACGAAUGGCGUAACGACAGCGGCGCUGUCUCCACCCGAGACUCAGUGAAAUUGAAAUCGCUGUGAAGAUGCAGCGUUCCCGUGGCAAGACGGAAAGACCCCGUGAACCUUUACUAUAGCUUUACACUGAACGUUGAGUUCGUCUGUGUAGGAUAGGUGGGAGGCUAUGAAACCAUGGCGCUAGCUGUGGCGGAGCCAUCCUUGAAAUACCACCCUGUCGUGCUUGACGUUCUAACCUGGGCCCAUUAUCUGGGUCGGGGACCGUGUAUGGUGGGUAGUUUGACUGGGGCGGUCUCCUCCUAAAGAGUAACGGAGGAGCUCGAAGGUACGCUCAGCGCGGUCGGACAUCGCGCACUGUGUGCAAAGGCAUAAGCGUGCUUGACUGCAAGAUCGACGGAUCAAGCAGGUAGGAAACUAGGACUUAGUGAUCCGGUGGUUCUGUAUGGAAGGGCCAUCGCUCAACGGAUAAAAGGUACUCCGGGGAUAACAGGCUGAUACCGCCCAAGAGUUCAUAUCGACGGCGGUGUUUGGCACCUCGAUGUCGGCUCAUCACAUCCUGGGGCUGUAGUCGGUCCCAAGGGUAUGGCUGUUCGCCAUUUAAAGUGGUACGCGAGCUGGGUUCAGAACGUCGUGAGACAGUUCGGUCCCUAUCUGCCAUGGGCGUUGGAGAUUUGAGAGGGGCUGCUCCUAGUACGAGAGGACCGGAGUGGACGAACCUCUGGUGUUCCGGUUGUCACGCCAGUGGCAUUGCCGGGUAGCUAUGUUCGGAAGCGAUAACCGCUGAAAGCAUCUAAGCGGGAAGCGCGCCUCAAGAUGAGAUCUCCCGGGGCACAAGCCCCCUGAAGGAACCAUGUAGACUACGUGGUUGAUAGGUCAGGUGUGUAAGUACAGCAAUGUAUUGAGCUAACUGAUACUAAUGAUCCGUGCGGCUUGACCAUAUAACCU